UCAUUAAAAUACAAGCCUCGGCUGGGGUACUAACGGCUGCUAAAUAUUUCCCAAAGCAAGAGCCUGAAUUAAAAAUGGAAACGGAGGACGGCAGUUACAAAACUGCGAAUUAUACACAGCAAAAGGAGUAUGAAAAUGAAAUGCCCGAGCUGCUUUUGCUGGGGGAAGGGCCAGAUUGGGUCACAGAUUUCCCACGUUAAUGCGAUGAUGGUUUUAUGAGCUCUCUAUCAUUUUUUGGCAUGCAAAAGCAAGAAUGUACGGCUGAGAAAGAAUGACUUAUAAAAUAAAUCUUAAAAAAAAAUCGAUGUUCUAUAUGGGGAUUGCAUUUUGUGAAUCCACUACUUCUUUAACAGUUUUGAGGUCAGACACAGAAGUCCCGAACCACUGGGCAGCACGCCUGCCACCCCCACGCCGUGGAAGGAACGGAGCCUCUUUUAUACAGGUUUGUGUACCGGACGUUGCUCUACCUGUCAACAAACAUGACACAUCUAUAAGGAAAGGCUCUACAGUUACUCAUAAAUUUGCUUCAGUGGUAAGUGAAACCUCUCACAGACAUGUAAGCCAAGAACAGAAGCAGCACUGAACGACCCGGUGCCGAGGUGGUGGUGAAUGUCCUGGUGUGGGUAGAGGAGUGACAAAUCAGUUCCUUUGGCAGUUCCAGCACUGACCACAACCACUGCUAUUUGAUUUCUGGGCUUUCUUGCCUGAGAGCAGGAAAAGAUCAAUGCCUAAUGCCUUUCCUCCCUGUCGGGCGGAUGCUCCAGCUUCAGGACAGUGCGUGUGUCUCUUGGCGAGGAGUGGGAACCCUUUGCAUGCUCCUGCUGUGUUCCGUGCCUGCAACAAGCACAGACCUCCACCCUGUGAAGCAGUUCUCAGCCACGUGCUCUUUAUCACGCAUUCCAUAAAACACAAUUUUUUGCUGAGAUUCCCUAACUUUGGAAGCACGACAGUCUUUUUCCGAUACGAUGUAGACACGUGAAUAUGUAACUUCUUUGCAACUGUGGACAGGUUUUACACUCCAAUGAGUUGAUUCAGCCACAAAUUAAAAUAUAAGAAAUUGCGAUAAGAAAUACUGGGAAUAUAGUUAUUUAAGAAUUUUUAAUUAUAUGUUAUUUUCCUUUCUUUUUUGCUACAGGAUUAAGGCACUAUAGUAAAACCGAACGACUAGUGUUUACAGUGACUCAUGCAGUAUCAAGUCUUUCUAUGCUGAAAUCAGACUUUUUUUCUGAAAGACACUGAGUUGCAGCUGAGUCUGGUCUUCUCUUUACACAACUGUGUGUGAGGAAAUGCAAGGACUCUUUUGUCUGAAACGCUGAACUCUGCAGAGAACAUGUGAAUAUUAGACAGGUAUUGAAUGCACAAUUACUAUAUAUGCCCCAUAUAAUUGCAGUUGCACUAAGCCAUAAUUGCCCACAUGAGUUAUGUAACUAUAGUUAUUCUACUGUGUUGCAAAGUAUGGCCUCUUUUUCUCUGAAAAGAUGAUUGCAGGGAAGGUUUAUUUUCGUCUAAAUAUUUGGACUGAACAAAGAAGAAUUUUUGUUGUGAAUUUUCACAGAGUUUGAAUUAGUUUGGGGGGUUUUUUUUGCCUUGUAACAGUGCUUGGUUUUCUCCAUCAGAAAAACAGCCUACACAAACAGGUGAGUGACUGGACAUAUCUACUGAAAGCAGAGGUUCCAGCAUGCAGAAUUUUUGAAACACAGCAAUAAAUAAGUGUGGAUAACACUGGUUGACUCAGCUGACAGCAAAAGUGCAGAGGAAAUUCCACAACAAAACUUAUAUUGUAAAUGCUUUGUACAAAGCACUGGUCUGAA